CCAAUUCGUUUGUGUUUCAACUCAAUCACAUUAAAACAGGAGAAAAUCCACAACUCAUAACAGAUGGUAGCAGCCAUUUGUGCAUCCACGAUUACUUGAUCCAAGUGUGGGACAAGCUUCCGGUUAGACUCCAGAAACUUGGCAAUUUAUGGCAUCUCAACCAUAGAAAUCUACGGAUGAGAAACAGCAAGCUGUAUUUCUGAAAAAGGUGACGUGCAAAAAUCACGUGAGACGCCACCAAACACAUGAUCAACACUCGGAAGUUUUGAUUAAGCUUUGAUUCAAGCGCAAUACACCAUUGUUGCUGGCACAGGAAAAUAAAUCUUCGCCGACCAGGCGUGCAGUCUGCCCAACCGAAUAACCACCGGAGCGGAUCCAAGAAAUCAAGGUGGAUGUGAGGUCUAAAGUUCCAUCACCAAGUGCCAGUCAGGACAGCUCUGAGAGUUCUAGAGAGUCUGACCUCAUCUAUAGCAGCUCUACCAUGGGCAUUAGUGCACAUUUACACAUUGCAAACCAGCAUCCUUAUAGGAUGAAAUUGGCAUCUAUCAACUCCUGGUUUGUUGUUUGUUGAUGAUCAGGACAGAAACUUGGGAAGACCUGUCUUAUGGCUACAUCCGAGAAAUAUAUCGCACAAGGCAGAUUAUUUCUGGCCAUUCCGGUAACUCUGACAAUGGACGCCUCAGCCACAGGUUCGGGAGAACACAUGUUCUUUGAGUUCAGAGGAAGUUGUCUCCAUAAAAAAAGUAUCUGUAGUCCAAUAUCAGUUAUAUAUUAGGAGUGAUACUAUCUAGCCCGUUAUUAUAGCAUACUCAGUGGUGGUGCAAACAGAUGAUAUCUCCGCCAUGUGUUUAAUCAACAAACUGGACAGGACUCGCUCUGCCCCACGGAACAGUCAACGCAGUGAAAUUAUGACUUGAGCAGUGGAAUGUUAAACAAUAGGCAGCCAUCCACAUUCAAGGUGCUCUGAAUGUUCAGGUGGACCUGUUAAGCAGGUCAUAGUUGAAGCAGGAAAAACAGGCUGUCAACAACUGCGUUUUCAAACAGAUUGUACUCGGAUAGGGUACCUCCAUUUAGCGUAGUGGCAACAGCUUCCAAUACCAAGCUCAAAAGGUUCUGAUCCCUAAACCCAGCGGAUCACCCAGAGAAUAGAUGGCCUGUCUUUCAGCUGGAAAGGAAUUUUCAUAUAAGUUCUGUGCUCAGGAAAAUCAAAUGACAAUCUCAGCUAUAGCUGUAAUUCUUGACUGGCCAGGAGGGCAUGUUACCUCACUUGCUACAACUUUCCAGAGGAAAUUAUUGAAGAUUAACAGUCUGGCCAGAGCUUCUGGUUCAAGUGGGCCUACAGCAUCCAAACCAGAGAUGUUUCAGCUUGCCACCUGGAAUUUUAUGCCCAGCCCAGUUCUGUAAUGACCGGCGUCACGCAAAG